UACGAAGGGGGCUAGCGUUGCUCGGAAUUAUUGGGCGUAAAGAGCUCGUAGGCGGUUUGUUGCGUCGGCUGUGAAAUCCCGAGGCUCAACCUCGGGUCUGCAGUCGAUACGAGCAAACUAGAGUGUUGCAGGGGAGACUGGAAUUCCUGGUGUAGCGGUGAAAUGCGCAGAUAUCAGGAGGAACACCGGUGGCGAAGGCGGGUCUCUGGGCAACAACUGACGCUGAGGAGCGAA
rnacentral:rRNA from 1 species